rnacentral:lncRNA from 1 species
CCACAGACAAGGCACGGGUGGUGGGUCACCAAAGGCUGCCCUUACCCCAGCAGAGGACAUGGCCUUGGAGCUAAAUAAAGGCAGGCCCGUCUUAGAGGGGAUCCCUGGGGGGAAAGAGACGAGCAUAGGUUCCUCCCAAGAUGCCACCCGCUUCAUUCAAGUGUCUGGCAGCACUGUGUUCCUGUUAGAGCCACCAGCACAAGCACCAGACGAUGCUGAUCCAGGUGAAGGCCCCAGUGCAGCAGCAACAGCACAUGAUGGAGACGAUGAUGAGGAGGAGACCAUCUCUCUGGAAUCCAGAAGGCAUGAGGACCCAGAUGCUAUACAGUGGGAAAACCAGCCUGGCAACAUAGUGCGUAUUAAUAAAAGGACACCACAUCCUGCCAAAUUCCAGCUGCGCUAAUUGUAUUGUGUUCACAGAGCUCACAAGCUAUCAGAAAGUUGUAUGGCAACCACCUCCGGCGCCAAAUAGAACUGGCAGACAUAGACAUUCAGUACAAGAAGAAAAAGAUGGAAAAUCUUGCACUGGAGUCCGAAAUAAAAA